AUCCUUGCGACCUCCGCCCCAAGAGUCCUCGCCGCCGGUCGGCGCCACCAUCUUCUCGCAGUGCAAGCAGCCAUCGCCUUGUCGCCUUACUUGCCGGCGACCCAGCGCCGCUUCGUCGUCGUCGAGCUAGCGGCGCCGCAGCCCUCCCCUGGAGCCAUUGUCCUGCACCACCUCCCCGCGGACACGGUGCCGGCUGCAGCCGUAGUCUUCUCGUGGAUCCACCGGCCAACACCGCCACCAACCAUCUCGUCCACGGCCAUCUCCUCGCUUCUCAUAGCUGCUGCUCGUCGGCUCCUCCACACCUCUCCAGUUGGUACUGCCAUGCUCUGUGCGUAGGAUACACAUUGGUCUGGGAUAUCAAUAAUGUUCCUCUUCUUUUGUAGGUUUCAUGGCGUUGCAAAUGCUUUUGUAGCUUUCAUGUGAUGACGAGGGCCUUCAUUUGUGCGAAUAUACACAAGUUGCUGGCAUUUCUUCAUUUUGCAUAGUACAAACUCUGAUGUUAUGUGCAAAUGAGGCCAUAUGGAUGGUUCAUCACCAUGAAGCUUCAAUUCAUAGUAACCGGCAAGGUCACAAAUUUAUAAUAACAGGAUUGAUGUGCAAAUCUGAUCAGAAAAGGGAGUAAACUACAAUCAGGACUCUUUUCACUUUUUACUGAUGACAUGCUUCCUCAGUUAAUGAUGCUUUUAUUGAUCCACUGCUUCUUCCACUCCAUGCAGUACACCUGUGAAAUGUGCCUGCUUUGACUGUUUUGUAUACAACAAUACAAGUACCCACCUCUUUCCUCUUGACAAGUGCCCACCUCUCCAUCAACCCCUUUCCUUCUCUCUAGGUGAGUAUUAAAGGUGCACAUGAGCUAGCUAUAUAAUUUUUAGUCUUUCUUCAAUUGACAUGCGUAGAAAAGUUCUAUUAGUUUAUCUGUUAAAUUUUCUAUAUCCAGCUUUACCUUCAUAUCACAUCCAGCUAAAUUGUUCAUAUUCCCUUCACAGGGUGCAUCCUAAACUGCCAGGAUAUAUGCCAAGUGUGGAUAGCCUUAUUUUUUGUGUGCACGUGUGGAUGACAUUGCUAUAUGCAUGACUGUCCCUUUUGGGUAUAUGCCCAGGAUGGCAUCAGUAUGCACACCUAGCCUUAGAAGCAACACCAUUUGUUUAGAAGCUCUGCAUUAUAGCCGCUAAUGUAAAUAGCUGUUGUCAUAUAUAUGGUGUUUGCUUCUUAAAAUUCUUUUGCUUUACAUAAAACUGCAAUCCAGACUAUGAACGAGCACUUAUGGUUGAAAUCCUAUAGCUCUUAAUUAUUAUUACUCUGAAUGUCUACUACUUUGCUAUGCUCCUUAUUUUCAGGGUAAACAUGUGCCAUGAAAAGUUGCAUUAGGUAAGUCUCAGCCAGCUAUUGCUGAUAAUCUGGCAUGAGCUACAUUUUUGUUAGGCUACAUUACUGUUGUUAUGGAAAAAUGGAAAGGUAUUAAACUGGGGUACUAUUGUUGCUAAUCUGGGAUGAGUUAGAUUUUUGUUGGGCUGUAUUAAUGUUGUUAUGGAAAAUGGAAAGGUAUUAAGCAGGGGUACAAAUUUGUUGCUAAUCUGGGAUCAACUACAUUUAUUUCCCAGUUAGAUUCAUCUCUAGCAGCAUCAGCUUUAUAGAUCUUUGAUCUUAGUUAAUCCUAUUGAAUAGUGCUAUUUUGCCUUAAUUUUCCUUUCUUAUCUUCCAGAAUAGCAUAUCUUUUCUUUCCUAAUUAUUUUCUACAAUAAUAUAA
rnacentral:lncRNA from 1 species